AGUGAACGCUGGCGGCAGGCCUAACACAUGCAAGUCGAACGGAAGCACAGUAAGAGUUUGCUCUUACGGGUGGCGAGUGGCGGACGGGUGAGGAAUAUAUCGGAAUCUACUUUUUCGUGGGGGAUAACGUAGGGAAACUUACGCUAAUACCGCAUACGACCUACGGGUGAAAGCAGGGGAUCUUUGGACCUUGCGCGGUUGAAUGAGCCGAUGUCGGAUUAGCUAGUUGGCGGGGUAAAGGCCCACCAAGGCGACGAUCCGAAGCUGGUCUGAGAGGAUGAUCAGCCACACUGGAACUGAGACACGGUCCAGACUCCUACGGGAGGCAGCAGUGGGGAAUAUUGGACAAUGGGCGCAAGCCUGAUCCAGCCAUACCGCGUGGGUGAAGAAGGCCUUCGGGUUGUAAAGCCCUUUUGUUGGGAAAGAAAAGCAGCAGGUUAAUACCCCGCUGUUCUGACGGUACCCAAAGAAUAAGCACCGGCUAACUUCGUG
rnacentral:rRNA from 1 species